UGCAGAAGCUAUAAAAUUGUCAUUCUUCUGCAAGGCCUCCAACUCCUUGACAUUUCCCUGACCCCCCCCGGCUACAGAGAAUGCUGAUUGGCUCGUUUGGAGCAUGCCGCCACAGACACGACAACUCUGCCAACACGGCACACAACACUCCACAGCACGGCUGGUGUAGAAAACGCUUGAGGAAAACUGAUGGAGAGACCUGGCUCUUGGCUCUGGACAAAGGCUGCAGAGCGAUGAAGUCGUCACCUAUGACCACUCGGUUGGAAUACAUCUACACCAGGAGAGCACAAACAAAGGAUCCGCUUUUGCAGUGCAUGGUUGUCUUCUCAGCAAAAUGGAACGCAGACACAAAUCACAGAUCCAACCUGCAGAGCAUCUGAACAGGCGACUCAAACCUUUGGUAGAGGCG